rnacentral:lncRNA from 1 species
AGGUAAUCGUGUCGAAUUGUGGAUUUAAAAAAAUAAAUAUUGUGUAAUAAAACUGCAUAAACCUAAUGUCAAGUUAAAGUGUACUGUUAGCUAGCUAAAGUUAGCUGUCUAGCUCGCUAGCUAAGUGUAUGUUCUCCACUUUCUGGAGGACCGAGUUUUGAAAUCAGUGAAAUUUGAGUAUGAUAGCUAAGGAGAUGGAGAAAAUACCAGUCUGGAUUACAUCGUCAAACUAAGGCAACCAUGCAUGGCAUCAGACAGGAGACCCGUCCAACCAUGAUGUAUACUGUUCUGCAACAAAGACACACGCAGGAAAAGGAAUUCUGUUUCUGUAUCUAGAAUCCAUACCAGGAAGAAGCCCAGGUACCACAAGGUAUGAUGGCUUGAGAUUUCAUUGAGGAAGAAAUCAUCAAGCGAUGUGCUGGACCUUAUGUCAGAGAUAUGUUUCUGAGAGCAUGUGAUUUCUUUCAAGACAAUGACCAGGAGACACACUGCCCCCCAGGUUUGCAUUGCAAAUGAGGGGCAUAAACUGGGUCAAGACGCCAGCAGACCUGGUCCAGACCAGACACAGCUGUGUCAAUAUUCAGGCUAAGGGAAGCCAGACUGCUGAGCCCCAAGACACAAGCCUCCAGCCAGAUCACAGGAUUACAUAUACACCCUCAACAAACCCCUCUCUGUUUGUUUGAUAUCCACAGAGAAUGGUCUGUCAUACAAAUAUGUUUGACCAUCAACCUCAGCCUGUCUCUAUGUCUGUCUGUUCUCUGUCAGUCUGUCUCUCUGUCAGUCUGUCUGUCUGUCUGUCUGUCUGUCUGUCUGUCUGUCUGUCUGUCUGUCUGUCUGUCUGUCUGUCUGUCAGCUUGUCUCUCUGUCUAUCUGUUCUCUGUCUGUCUCUCUGUCAGCCUGUCUCUCUGUCUGCCUGUCUUUCUGUCUGUUCUCUGUCAGCUUGUCUCUCUGUCUGUCUGUCAGCCUGUCUCUCUGUCAGCCUGUCUCUCUGCCAGCCUGUCUCUCUGCCAGCCUGUCUCUCUGUCUGUCUGUCUCUCUAUCUGUCUGUCGGUCAGCCUGUCUCUCUGUCAGCCUGUCUCUCUGUCAGCCUGUCUCUCUGCCAGCCUGUCUGUCUGUCUGUCUCUCUGUCUUUCUGUUCUCUGUC